rnacentral:rRNA from 1 species
GGGUUGUGAGGUUAAGCGACUAAGCGUACACGGUGGAUGCCCUGGCAGUCAGAGGCGAUGAAGGACGUGCUAAUCUGCGAAAAGCGUCGGUAAGGUGAUAUGAACCGUUAUAGCCGGCGAUGUCCGAAUGGGGAAACCCAGUGCAAUUCGUUGCACUAUCGUUAACUGAAUACAUAGGUUAACGAGGCGAACCGGGGGAACUGAAACAUCUAAGUACCCCGAGGAAAAGAAAUCAACCGAGAUUCCCCAGUAGCGGCGAGCGAACGGGGAGCAGCCCAGAGUCUGAAUCAGCUUGUGUGUUAGUGGAACGGUCUGGAAAGUCCGACGGUACAGGGUGAUAGUCCCGUACACCAAAAUGCACAGGUUGUGAACUCGAAGAGUAGGGCGGGACACGUGGUAUCCUGUCUGAAUAUGGGGGACCAUCCUCCAAGGCUAAAUACUCCUGACUGACCGAUAGUGAACCAGUACCGUGAGGGAAAGGCGAAAAGAACCCCGGCGAGGGAGUGAAAAAGAACCUGAAACCGUGUACGUACAAGCAGUGGGAGCACCUUCGGGUGUGACUGCGUACCUUUUGUAUAAUGGGUCAGCGACUUAUAUUCUGUAGCAAGGUUAACCGUAUAGGGAGCCGCAGGGAAACCGAGUCUUAACUGGGCGUUAAGUUGCAGGGUAUAGACCCGAAACCCGGUGAUCUAGCCAUGGGCAGGUUGAAGGUUGGGUAACACUAACUGGAGGACCGAACCGACUAAUGUUGAAAAAUUAGCGGAUGACUUGUGGCUGGGGUGAAAGGCCAAUCAAACCGGGAGAUAGCUGGUUCUCCCGAAAGCUAUUUAGGUAGCGCCUCGUGAAUUCAUCUUCGGGGUAGAGCACUGUUUCGGCUAGGGGUCAUCCCGACUUACCAACCCGAUGCAAACUACGAAUACCGAAGAAUGUUAUCACGGGAGACACACGGCGGGUGCUAACGUCCGUCGUGAAGAGGGAAACAACCCAGACCGCCAGCUAAGGUCCCAAAGUCAUGGUUAAGUGGGAAACGAUGUGGGAAGGCACAGACAGCCAGGAUGUUGGCUUAGAAGCAGCCAUCAUUUAAAGAAAGCGUAAUAGCUCACUGGUCGAGUCGGCCUGCGCGGAAGAUGUAACGGGGCUAAACCAUGCACCGAAGCUGCGGCAGCGACACUAUGUGUUGUUGGGUAGGGGAGCGUUCUGUAAGCCUGCGAAGGUGACCUGUGAGGGUUGCUGGAGGUAUCAGAAGUGCGAAUGCUGACAUAAGUAACGAUAAAGCGGGUGAAAAGCCCGCUCGCCGGAAGACCAAGGGUUCCUGUCCAACGUUAAUCGGGGCAGGGUGAGUCGACCCCUAAGGCGAGGCCGAAAGGCGUAGUCAAUGGGAAACAGGUUAAUAUUCCUGUACUUGGUGUUACUGCGAAGGGGGGACGGAGAAGGCUAUGUUAGCCGGGCGACGGUUGUCCCGGUUUAAGCAUGUAGGCUGGUUGUCCAGGCAAAUCCGGAUAAUCAAGGCUGAGGUGUGAUGACGAGGCACUACGGUGCUGAAGUAACAAAUGCCCUGCUUCCAGGAAAAGCCUCUAAGCAUCAGGUAACAUCAAAUCGUACCCCAAACCGACACAGGUGGUCAGGUAGAGAAUACCAAGGCGCUUGAGAGAACUCGGGUGAAGGAACUAGGCAAAAUGGUGCCGUAACUUCGGGAGAAGGCACGCUGGUGUGUAGGUGAAGUCCCUGCGGAUGGAGCUGAGACCAGUCGAAGAUACCAGCUGGCUGCAACUGUUUAUUAAAAACACAGCACUGUGCAAACACGAAAGUGGACGUAUACGGUGUGACGCCUGCCCGGUGCCGGAAGGUUAAUUGAUGGGGUUAUCCGUAAGGAGAAGCUCUUGAUCGAAGCCCCGGUAAACGGCGGCCGUAACUAUAACGGUCCUAAGGUAGCGAAAUUCCUUGUCGGGUAAGUUCCGACCUGCACGAAUGGCGUAAUGAUGGCCAGGCUGUCUCCACCCGAGACUCAGUGAAAUUGAACUCGCUGUGAAGAUGCAGUGUACCCGCGGCAAGACGGAAAGACCCCGUGAACCUUUACUAUAGCUUGACACUGAACAUUGAGCCUUGAUGUGUAGGAUAGGUGGGAGGCUUUGAAGCGUGGACGCCAGUCUGCGUGGAGCCAACCUUGAAAUACCACCCUUUAAUGUUUGAUGUUCUAACGUUGGCCCCUGACCGGGGUUGCGGACAGUGUCUGGUGGGUAGUUUGACUGGGGCGGUCUCCUCCCAAAGCGUAACGGAGGAGCACGAAGGUUAGCUAAUCCUGGUCGGACAUCAGGAGGUUAGUGCAAUGGCAUAAGCUAGCUUGACUGCGAGCGUGACGGCGCGAGCAGGUGCGAAAGCAGGUCAUAGUGAUCCGGUGGUUCUGAAUGGAAGGGCCAUCGCUCAACGGAUAAAAGGUACUCCGGGGAUAACAGGCUGAUACCGCCCAAGAGUUCAUAUCGACGGCGGUGUUUGGCACCUCGAUGUCGGCUCAUCACAUCCUGGGGCUGAAGUAGGUCCCAAGGGUAUGGCUGUUCGCCAUUUAAAGUGGUACGCGAGCUGGGUUUAGAACGUCGUGAGACAGUUCGGUCCCUAUCUGCCGUGGGCGCUGGAGAAUUGAGGGGGGCUGCUCCUAGUACGAGAGGACCGGAGUGGACGCAUCACUGGUGUUCGGGUUGUCAUGCCAAUGGCACUGCCCGGUAGCUAAAUGCGGAAGAGAUAAGUGCUGAAAGCAUCUAAGCACGAAACUUGCCCCGAGAUGAGUUCUCCCUGAGACUUUAAGUCUCCUGAAGGAACGUUGAAGACGACGACGUUGAUAGGCCGGGUGUGUAAGCGCAGCGAUGCGUUGAGCUAACCGGUACUAAUGAACCGUGAGGCUUAACCUUACAACGCCGAAG